UACGUAGGGUGCGAGCGUUAAUCGGAAUUACUGGGCGUAAAGCGUGCGCAGGCGGUUAUGCAAGACAGAUGUGAAAUCCCCGGGCUCAACCUGGGAACUGCGUUUGUGACUGCAUAACUAGAGUACGGCAGAGGGAGGUGGAAUUCCGCGUGUAGCAGUGAAAUGCGUAGAUAUGCGGAGGAACACCGAUGGCGAAGGCAGCCUCCUGGGCCUGUACUGACGCUCAUGCACGAAAGCGUGGGGAGCAAACAGG
rnacentral:rRNA from 1 species